AGUAAGCGGAGCCUUUGGGGCGUGGGGUCGGUGGCAGUAUGUGGCCCGUCUGUGCGCGGAGGGUGCAGAGUGCUGUUCCCAGGGCCGGGUUCAGGGCUCGGUGGGCAACUUUGAAGGGCCCGAGGACCGGCCCCGCCGCAGUUCGUUGCAGCAGUGGGAUACCCAGCUAUGGGGUCCGCUCGUUGUGCGGCUGGAGCUAUGGCUCUGCCACCGUCCCACGUAACCGCAUACUGCAACAACUCCUGGGGUCGCCCAGCCGCCGCUCUUAUAGCCUCCCUCCGCACCAGAAGGUUCCACUACCUUCACUUUUCCCUACAAUGCAGGCAGGCACCAUAGCCCGCUGGGAAAAAAAAAGAAGGGGAAAAAAUCAGUGAGGGUGAUCUAAUUGCAGAGGUUGAAACUGAUAAAGCCACUGUUGGAUUUGAGAGCUUGGAGGAGCGCUAUAUGGCAAAGAUCCUUGUUCCUGAGGGGACCAGAGAUGUUCCAGUUGGAUCUAUCAUUUGUAUCACAGUUGAAAAGCCUCAGGAUAGAUAUUGAGGCCUUUAAAAAUUAUACAUUGGAUUCAGCAACAGCUGCCACACAGGCAGCCCCAGCCCCAGCUGCAGCUCCAGCUGCUGCCCCAGCUGCACCUUCUGCAAAUGCUCCAGGUAACUCCUAUCCCGUUCACAUGCAGAUUGUUCUUCCUGCCCUCUCCCCAACCAUGACCAUGGGCACCUUCCAGAGGUGGGAAAAGGAAGUGGGAGAGAAGCUGAGUGAAGGAGACUUGCUGGCAGAGAUAGAGACCGACAAGGCCACCAUAGGCUUUGAAGUACAAGAAGAAGGUUAUCUGGCAAAAAUCCUGGUCCCUGAAGGCACAAGGGAUGUUCCUCUGGGAACCCCACUAUGUAUCACAGUAGAAAAACAGGAAGAUAUAGCAGCAUUUGCAGACUACAGGCCAACAGAAGUGACCAGCUUAAAGCCACAGGCACCACCACCUGUCCCACCCCCAGUGGCAGCUGUUCCUCCCACCCCCCAGCCUUUAGCACCUACCCCCUCAGCCGCUCCUGCUGAACCAAAGGGAAGGGUGUUUGUUAGCCCUCUUGCAAAGAAAUUGGCAGCAGAAAAAGGGAUUGACCUCACCCAAGUUAAAGGGACGGGACCAGAAGGCAGAAUCAUCAAGAAGGACAUUGACUCUUUUGUGCCUACUAAGGCUGCUCCUGCUGCUGCAGCAGCUGCUCCCCCGGGUCCAA
rnacentral:lncRNA from 1 species